AAAAAACUUAUUGUAUACUAGACACUGCGCUAUGACGUCAUUAAUGGUCGUUAGAAUUCAUUAAGGCUUUUUUUACAUGUGUAGCUGCUGUGACUACUUUAUAUAAACGUUCGCCUUAAUGUUUAUUUGAUAAUUAAAUUCUUCAUUAUUAUUAUCACAGUUGAGGUUAUGCAGCUAUUUAGAUGAUAUUGUUCUCUCAUUAAAUACAAUAAAAAUUAAAAAAAUACAAAUAAAUAGUUUUUGAUUCGAAACCAUGAAAUAAAUAUUUUUAUUUUAGUAUACAGCGAUAAAAAAAUUUUAUUACUUGAUUAACGUUAAGUGGGGAGUUUAAGUAUUUAUUUCGAUUAAUGUGUGUAAUAAGUUCAAAUAGUAAUUAGAAAAAGCUGAAUCAAAGGUUAGUGUUAGAACGAAAGAAGAUGAAGAUUAGAAGGUUACUAUUUACGAACAUUUGUCUUGCGAGUUUACUGAAGGACACACUUUCGUUCAAGAUAGGCUGUACUGUCAUAUUAUUGCGACAAUUGAUCAAUAAAUUCCAGGACUCUAUCCUUUACCAGAUAAAGGUCAGCAUUUAAACGGCUCGUAUAUUCUCCAGAAAACCAGUGGAAAAAAGUUCAAAAUUAAUGUCAGCACUGACGAGUGUAUGGAGAUGAAGAGGAUCCGUAAAUAUAAUGUGUUUUCACACUAAUAACUAAAGGUGGUUCACAGGUGUCUAAAGAGAUUCAUAAUUAAGUGACAAGUAGAACUCUUCGACUGACGUUAAUGGUAGAAAGGACUAAUGCUACGGUCACUCUCGUCGUAGUUAAUGAUUCGCGUCAUGAAACGGUGAGAUGACCAGAGAGCAUUGCUGUUGUACGAUGAGUAAAAAGUCUGGGAAAGAAACUUUGACAUCUGUUCACGAGAACGUUUUGAAAAAUUCAAACGACGUCUUGAUGGUUUUUGGGAGGGUCAACUCGAAAUGCUCUACGUUGGCUCAGUUGGAGAUUGUAUCAACACCGAUGAAUCUUUCAGGCACGAGUGGCCAUCAGGAUACUCCUUGGACAAAAUUGCAAGACGAUGCGUGAAUUUAAGGAUGAAACUUUAAGUACUUGUAUGCAAACGAAUUUUCUCUGAAAAUUAAUCAUGUCUGGAACGAAAUUGAUUUUUACAACAGGGUAACCAGAGUACGUUACGCUGUCACAAUACUUCUGGUUCGUUAAAAUGUAUUUCCACAUACAGAUACACUUUUAUUGUUGACAGAAGAAAAUGUAUUUAGGUCAACGAUGCAUGGUCAUCCUUGUCAAAGAUAUCAAUGAGUAAGAUGAAGUUGGAACAAUUUUCAUGAAUACACUGUGAAGUUUUAAAUAUGAUCUCAAAUUAAACCAUAUUGAACACAUUUGUAUUGACAACAAUUAAUGUUUUGAGGACGGUUGUCUGAAUUUAAUUGCAGUAUUUAGGUGAAACUCACCAGCAGAAUUCAACAUUUAUAUUGCAACCAAUGCAUUGACAAAAACGAAUGAAAUAAUUUGUCUUUUGGAGAUAGUGUUUGCAUGGAUACUACCUUGCGAAGGUAACUGCAGGUUUUAUGGAACAGGAAUUAUUACACCUAUAAAAUAUAAUCUAUUGUCGCGUGGAAUCAUUCUGGUUUUGGCAAAAGUGCUGUUUCACCUUUCUCAAGAAUUUGAAUCGAUGGCAUGGGAGCUAUAAUGCGAUAUGAUGUAGAAAAAUUAAGCUUUCUCAAAGAAAGGAUCAUGGUUCAUGACUGGAGUAUUGGAAGCUAAAUGACCACGUGAACUGCGAGGAAUUCAUGGCCCAGUUUUUGAUACAACAUUCGAUGAUGUUUUUCUUUAGGUCAUGUCAAGAAUACUUACGACUAUCAACAGUACCGUUCGUAUUGUUAUUAAAGAGGACUUGAACUUGGAUGUCAUAGAGCAGCUAAAAGGAUACGACGGACUGAUGAUGAAAUAAUGGGUACGCCGACAAAUAAUUUACUGGAUAACCGCGGAAAUUUACUGAGCAGUAAAUUACUCAAGUACUAAUAAUACCUUCAUCUAUUUACUAACUGCCGAGAAAGUCAGGAAGUUUCGAGUGAAUAUCUCGAGCAUCCUACUCGUAAUACAAGUAGUAACUCGUCCAAAUUUCUUGCUGCUAGAACACAAAGAUUAUUUAGUAAUGGAAAUCCCCUCAAUGAGUCUUUGCAUAGAAAAAAUAAACAAUUGCUUGGCGAAAAAUAAUCAGACUAGUUAUUCAUCAAGUUGAAGUGAAAAUUGUCUUGCUGCGAUGGAACCGCAGCUAGUUAUUUAUCUACUAAGUUCAUAAAAGUAAAUAAAUACAUGAAGGACCGGAUGUUGCAAAGUUGUGCUCGACUUAUUACUGAACUAUUUCAGUCUUUUCGUUUGUACUGUGAAUUCUAAAAAUUUACUUCAAUGAGAGUUAGUAGUUAAAAAUAGGUGUAAAUUUUUCAUUACAUAAAUUAUUAUUGUAUUUUUGUUUUUGAUUUAGCAUGUCAAGAAGUUUUAGGAUUAAAUUGUUUUGAUUUUGUCUCCAUAUCAUUAAUUUGUGUCCAACAAUUAUUAAUGGAUCGAGUGUAAGCAAUAUAGUGCCCCAAACCUUUUGAAAUUGAUGGUGGAACAAAUUCAAUCACUCCAGACAAUAUGAAAUUCAUAUUUACUACACUCAAGCGACUUGGUAACUCUUGAAGCUUGUAUGUCAUUCUUUGUUCUUUGUUUGAGGAAGUGAAGUAAAUAGAUGGUUCAUAAAUGUGACCAAUAUCUAAGCACAAAUAUGAAGUAACAUUAAUUUUCUUAGUGGCUGAUACAUUUUUACAAUUGUCACAUAAAAAUAGCCUCUUUUUUUUUAAUUCUUGACUAAUAAUGUCUGACAAUGACUUAAAGCCAUUUUCCCAAAUCAAUCUAGC